rnacentral:rRNA from 1 species
GACGAACGCUGGCGGUGUGCUUAACACAUGCAAGUCGAACGGUAAGGCCCUUCUUUUGUGGGGUGCUCGAGUAACGAACGGGUGAGUAACACGUGAGUUACCUGCCUUUGACUUUGGGCUAUCUUCAACAAUCUCGAGCUCAUACCGGAUAGGUGCUCCUGCUGUUUGGUGGGGGUUGGAUAGUUUUGGCGGUUGGGGGUGUACUCGCGGCUUAUCAGCUUGUUGGUGGGGUAGUGGCUUACCAAGGCUUUGACGGGUGGCCGGCCGGGGAGGGUGACCGGCCACAUUGGGACUGGGAUACGGCCAAGACUCCAACGGGGGGCAGCAGGGGGGAAUAUGGAACAAUGGGGGGAAGCCGGAGGCAGCAACGCCGCGGGGGGAAUGACGGCCUUCGGUUGGUAAACCGCUUUCGCUGUGAAGGAGGCGUGAGUGACGGUAGUGGGAGAAGAAGCACCGGCUAACUACGUG